GCUUCCGAUUCGGUUUAUCUAAAGAACCCAUAAUUCGGCUUCUUCUUCUCUUACUAAUCAACCACAAGAACUCAGGGCAACUAAACAAAACCCAAAGAAGAAACAGUAUCGGCCGACGACGAUAUUUGAAAUAGUGAGUCUUGGAAUUUAGUACACGGGUCCAGAAGUUCCAUUGUACGAUGCAGUUAUAUUUGUAGACACUGUUCUGGAAAAAAAUUGGCAUUGAAGGUGAAGGAGAAUGGGGAUAGUGGAAAAGAUUGAAGAGCAGGGUGCUGUCCAAGUUUCCCCCCUCCCCCCCCCCCCCGAAAAGACCAGUUGGACCAUUUUUAAUUUAUUAUAAAAAGCAAAUAGAAUUGAUGAAAGCUAAGGGCAUUGUCGCUAAGAUAAGCACAGCUGUUAAGACGAAGAUUAGAGAAAAGUGGAUGAAUCUUGAUGAAGAUUCUAAAUUAGAGUACAAGAAGGAAGCACGUGAGAAUUCUGAAAAAUAUGCUAAUUUGUCACAUAAUAUUCCUCGCAAAUCACAUAAAGUUUCAUUAUAUACUCAAUGUGCCCCUAAUCGUGUUCAUUUGAUGGCCUUAAAUUUAAAUGAAAAACAAAGAUUAUUAUUCGAGAAAUGGGAUUUGGUAGUAUGUUGGAUUUAAGGUCUAUACAGUUGGAUAGAGAUUUUUGCAAAUGGUUAGUUGAUCAUUUUGACCACAAUUCUUGUGCUUUGGAUAUUUGUGGAAGGAGGUUACCAAUAUCCACUGAAGAUGUAGAAUUUAUUCUAGGAAUAAAAUCAAGUGGGGUAGAUGUGUCUAUUGUUGCAAGCGUUGAAGAGAUAAAUCAUAUAUGCCAACAACAUGGAUUAAAUGUGGUAGGGGAUAUACCAAUUAACCUCUUAGAGGGUAAGCUGAAGGAGAUGAAAACAUCAGGAAAAGAAUUUGUUGGUUGUUUUUUGCUGUUUCUAUUGGGUACUUUAUUAUGUCCCACUCCAAAACCUUAUAUCAAACGGUCCUUUAUCUCAAUUCUCCUUAAUAUUGAUGAGUUCAAAAACUUGAAUUGGGCGAAGUUGGUGUUGGAUUUUCUUAUUCGAGGUGUGCGCAAAUAUAAAGAAAAGAAUCGUGUUGGCGUUAAUGGUUGCUUGCUAUUUUUAAUGUUGUUUUAUUUUGAACAUGUCAAUGUUGAAACGAAUCUUGAACAUGUGUCCAAACGACUUCAACCACGUGUUUGUUAUUGGGGGAAAAAAGAAGUUAACCAAAGGAUGCUUCAAUUACAGUCAAUUGGAAGUUUUGACAGUCCUAAGUUGGUUGUAACACAAAUGGAUGGUGGACACGCGACAGAAAUUAUUCCACUAGAGAAACAAGAUAUUAAUGAAUCUCAUGCUAUGCCAUCUCAACAUGAAGACAAGCAAAAUAUGGAUUCUGUUGAAGCAAUUUGUAGAAUUGAGCAAUCAAUAACAAGUCUUAGAGAUGAAAUGCUAGUUAUGCAGAAAACCGUGACAAACAUUGCAAACAAUCUGGACACAUUUAAGAAUGACAUUCUUUUAGAGUUAAAGAAAACAGCAAGGGAACAUAGUGGACAUUCCAAUGACCUCAACUUAAAUGAUAUUGUAGAUGUUAAAAAAGAAAUGAAGUCUGCAUCUCCAUAUAUAAUCCAAGACACAAUGGAUCAAGAUGAUAUAGUAUGUGCUAAAAAUGAAUCUAAGAUAGAGUCUACAUCUCCAGUUCAAGACAAAAUGGAUCAAGAUGAUACAGGGCACAUUAAAAAAGUAUCUAAGAUGGUGUCAAUGGAGGAAGACUGCAAUGUUCACAUUGCUGGGCUAACUCAAUCUAAUCAAAAACCUGGCAGUAAAACACCCUUAUCUCAUAAUGUGGAUGUGGAUAUGCUGCAAUUAACUUUCCCUCAUAAUGUUCAACUUAAAGCAUCACGUGUUACACCUUCUAGCAAGCCUAAAGUCACCAGAUCACAAAAACGUAGCCCAAUUGUCACAUCACAAGUUGAAGUUCCAAAAGUCAAAAAGAGGAAAGAAAUCAAAGAUUCAUUGCAGGAAUCUAGACUGGGUGAUGACGAGGAUAUGAAUGAGUUCGAACCAUUUACUGAAAUGGAGAAGAUCAUAUGUAACUACAUUUUUAAUAAAAAAUUUGAAGAGAGUGAAGUUCUUGUUUCCAUGAAAUAUGAGUAUGGUGAUCGUGCAGCUUUCAAUACCUUGCUCCCUAAGCAAUGGAUAAGCAGUCAGAUUAUUAAUUUGUUCGUUUGCAAGAUGAGGAUGGAAGAGAACAAAUAUAGAGACAUGUUUAUGUGGUAUUUGCCAACGCAUUUUGCUCAAAAAAUGCUUGAAGAAGAUGGCAAUCCCACACUAGAAUGGUUUAAAAAGACAUAUAGGGACGAUGACAAGUAUAUGUCAAAUUUGGUGAAGUGUGAACGGAUUUUUAUCCCUGUGAAUGACAAUAAUAGUCAUUGGUACUUAUGUGUCAUUGAUUUUGAAAAAAGAUUUAUAUAUAUACUGGACUCUUUGCAAAGCAAAACUAGUGAAGUCAUUCGAACAAAAAAUGUUAAAACUGUGGUUACAGGCCUUGAUAAGUUGUUGAGUUUUUUGGAGAAAGACAAGUAUAUUGAUAGUAUUACCACAUUUAAAUUGAAAUCACCCGUCUCGAAUCCUCAAUAAAAUAAUGGGUAUGAUUGCGGGAUGUAUGUUAUAAAACACAUGUUUACAAAUACUUCCAGCAGGCAUUUACCCCUUUUGGAGAGCUGGUCGAAACGUUUACGGUACAAGUUGGCAGCAAGUCUAGUGCUUUCAAAGAAUAAUGAUCAACGUUCGAGAAUUAUUGAAAUUGCUAGAAACAUUCCACUACAGGAAUAUUUUCGGUCACUCAAAGAUUAGUAUAACGGUCACUCAAAGAUUAGUAUAAAAGAAUGAAUAGGAUACUAUUUAUGAGUUAGUGAUUUAGUGAAUUGAUUUUUUUUUAAUGAAUGGGAGAUUGAAUUUUUAUCUUUCAUACAACAAUUUAGUAAAUUAUUUUUUUAUUUUUCUAAUGAAUUUGAGGCUGAAUUUUUAUUUUUUGCACAUACGUUUGUGUUGUGUGCACAAACAGUUUUGAUUUCAGCUGCUUGGUUUAAAGAGUUUCUGACAUCUCCCCACUCUCUUCAUCUGAAGCAUUGAACAGAUUUUUGGUUUGUGUAAAGGUCAUAUCAUAGUAAUUGAUGUUUUUGAGUUUCUUUUUAGACCCAUCUUGAGUUUUGGCUAUUUUAGUGUUUUUUAGAGGUACUUGAGAAGGUUUGUGGCCUUUUUACCAGACUAGCAAAUAUGUGUCUUCCUUGUAGAAUAUUGAGUACAAUGUGAUAAAUUAUAGUUUUUAGUUUUAAUGUGGUAAAGCAAGUACUCUUAACUAUUUUGGCAAUUUCUUUUGGCUUAGAAGCAAAAUAUAUAUUAUAUUGAAGAUUGUGUAUUGAAUAAUAAGUGCUGGAGUUGCACUUCAUCUUCAGGUAUAUUUUAUUAAAGAUUGUGUCUUGAGUAAUAAGUGUAAGUGAUUUGGUUGUAUUUUCUGCAGAUUAGUGUUUGGAUCUUGGUGGGAAAUCUAUUACCUAUUGGCUAUAUACAUUGCUAGCUAUGGUUGGAUAACAAUUUGAUCAUGGAGAUGAAAUUUGUGGAGCAGUUGUCAAUGUCAGAGCUAGGCAGGAAAAAAUAUCUCUAUGGCUGAAGAAUGCUACAAAUGUAAAGCCUAGGCAACUAGCAUGUUUUGUUCACAUGUAAAUAUAAUAUUUCAACACUAGAGGAAUUACAUGUUUUGUUCACAUGUUUUGUAUAAUCACAUUAUUAAGCGAAUGUAAUCACAUUAUUAAAUUUAAUCUAUUUUGUAUAUAACAC